GAUGGGCUGCCAGGAGGGCUGACUGUGCGGCUCAUCUUAUCCUCAUCCUCCUUUUGAAUAUGCUUUCGUCCCCAAAGGGGCAGCAGCACGGCCUGCUGGGGUUCUGGCCUUCAGGUGGAAAGAAAAUCAAAAGGUGUUUGAAAAGUCUCUCUUCUCCUUUACACCUUCCAUAGCGCUUUGGUGUUUGAAAGACAGACUGCUGCGUUCAGCAGAUCUGGCCCCAUGAUAUUCUAUGCACGCACACUAUUUCUGUUUGCUAUCAAUGUAUUUUAAUGUUUUGGCUCAUGUGAUAUUAUAGGCUUUUCUCUGUCCUUUACUUGCUGCUACAGCUUUAGCAAUAGGAGAAUGUGUUCGAUGGUGUAACCUGAUGUCCCACAGAAGACAAAUCUGGUUGCCUAUCCAAAAAAGGAGCUAUUAGGGCUCACAGAUUCCUUAAUGGAACUUAAUGGCUUUAAGUAAUGGCCCUUAAUGGCUUUAAUCAGCCUCACCGGGAGCCUCCACCCACACUCCCUGCCCUUGGGUGCAGGAGCCACAUAAAAGCCCCGGGCUGUGAGCUUACAGAGCUUUGUUGCAUCGAGUCUGUGGUUUGACUAUGGCUUCCUGGCUGACCUUCUGGUUUGAUCUCGGACCUGUCUCAGAAGGUUGUUUGGUGAUGCAGACUCUCCACCUGAACCUGGCAGCCAUCUUUGGGUUUGCUCAACUCACCUCACUAGGUACUAUGGGAUGUGCUCUGGGUAGUGGGUUCCUUGCCUUGCGGGUUGUUAUUGCACUUGGUUCUGCUUUCCUUAGGGAAACCAUUAACCAUCCAUGUUUCCUUGUUCAAGCGUUGGUACUAUCUUUAAACAAGGACUGUCUCAGUCCUUGAGUUACCUCUACUGUAGGGUUAGGCGAGAGUCAGACCUAAUGCAAAACGAAGGGUUAAAUAUAUUGUCCUUUGGGUUGAGAUUGGAGGGAACAAAACAUCCGUUUUUGUAGCUGCUAGAACAGUUCACUUACAAAGUCAAGCUACCAUCUGGCUUCUGAGUGCUGCCAUGGUUUCCUGAAGAACACAAGGAAUGGAGAUACUCAGAAUAUUAGCGUUUUUAUUUUAAUAUCAAAGCAAAUUAUGAAUAGAACAGCAUGAGUCAAUUUACAGAUAAUGAAAGGGAUUUCUGAAGGAUAUCUGUAGGCUGUAAGCUAUGCUGUGCAUAUGAAAAAAAUUACUACCUGACAGAUUUUCAGAGAGAGUGUAAAUGGUCCCUUUUAUACUUCCUUAUCUGUGUGUAUGUGCA
ensembl:lncRNA